GAUGAACGCUGGCGGCGUGCCUAAUACAUGCAAGUCGAACGCUGAAGGAGGCGCUUGCUCUUCUGGAUGAGUUGCGAACGGGUGAGUAACGCGUAGGUAACCUGCCUGGUAGCGGGGGAUAACUCUUGGAAACGAUAGCUAAUACCGCAUGACAACAGUUAUUGCAUGAUAACUGUUUAAAAGGUGCAACUGCUCCACUACCAGAUGGACCUGCGUUGUAUUAGCUAGUUGGUGAGGUAACGGCUCACCAAGGCGACGAUACGUAGCCGACCUGAGAGGGUGAUAGGCCAAACUGGGACUGAGACACGGCCCAGACUCCUGCGGGAGGCAGCAGUAGGGAAUCGUCGGCAAUGGACGGAAGUCUGACCGAGCAACGCCGCGUGAGGGAAGAAGGUUGUCGGAUCGUAAAGCGCGGUUGUAAGAGAAGAACGAGUGUGAGAGUGGAAAGUUCACACUGUGACGGUAGCUGACCAGAAAGGGACGGCUAACUACGUG
rnacentral:rRNA from 1 species